rnacentral:rRNA from 1 species
ACUACGGGAGGCAGCAGUAGGGAAUUUUCGGCAAUGGGGGGGACCCUGACCGAGCAACGCCGCGUGAGCGAAGAAGUUAUUCGUAAUGUAAAGUUCUUUUAACAGGGAAGAAAGAGCAAUUUGACGGUACCUGAAGAAUAAUCUCCGGCUAACUACGGUCCAGCAGCCGCGGUACUACGGAGGGAGCGAGCGUUAUCCGGAAUUAUUGGUCGUAAAGGGUGCGUAGAUGGGAUAGUAAGUCUUUUGUAAAAAUGCUGGGCUCAACCCAGUAGGGCAAAAGAUACUGCAAAGCUAGAGUAUGACAGAGGCAAGUGGAACUACAGGUGUAGCGGUAAAAUGCGUAAAUAUAUGUAAGAACACCAGUGGCGAAGGCGGCUUGCUGGGUCGAUACUGACAUUGAGGCACGAAAGCGUGGGGAGCAAACAGGAUUAGAUACCCUGGUAGUC